AAAAAAAAAUCAAACCCAGUCCAUUCAAGGCAGGGUUCUCCAUCUCCCACCGGACACCGCCGAAAGCAAAACCCGACUUCGCUGCACACACGCCGGCACACAACCCACCCGCCUCACGCACCAGAGCGGCUGGGAUGAGACGCAUUACAGUAAACCAGCCACACGACUCAAAGGACGAGAGAAAGCGCGCAGCCCUGACGGGGCGAAAUGACAAUUCAGUCCUGAUCGAAGGGCAGCUAUUAAGCCGCAUUAGGAAAUUAAAUAUUGAACAGCGCGGCGUAGCAAGGGGCGGCACAGCGAAGUUAUCUUUAAUCGUCUCUUCCCUGUUCGACUGUGUAGCGUUCCCCCCGGGGAGAGAGGGAUCCGAAACCGGCGACCAACGAGCCCUCGACACGCACACGCGUGGAGGGGCUGGCGGCACGCGCCCCAGGCAGGCGGGCAGGCGCGCAGGCUGUCCGUCACGGGGAAAUAAACUCAAGGGAAGACAUGACGCGGGUUCCCGGAGGAAGUUGCAGACACAUUACAGCCAGCUGCGGCUCGGGUCUGCCACUCGGAUGACUAGAAACGCGGCGCCAAACGCAGAAGGGGCGACUCUGCUCGGAGAGAUACCGACUCAGAGGCUACAAAUCCCGAGAGCAGCCCCUCACGAUGAUGGAUCGCCAUGCACCCGUGUGCCGGCAGUCUUCCUCGUAUUACACACCGCGCUGUGUCUGAAGUCGAGCCCCAAACACGGUCUCGAUGGCGCAGGCACAGGCGCUGAGCGGAGCAGAGGACCGUCACCACCCCCGUCUGAGAGGAGCCCCAGUCCUGGAUCACGACGGCCCUGUGUCAGCCAGCCCCCUCCAGGACCAGCACGCCCACACUGGGAGCCCCCCGAGUGGGGCUCAGCACAGACAUCCUGCACGUCCGCAGACACCCAUCGCACAGCGGCUGGAGAGGGGACCUGGGGGGUUUCCCAGGGGUCACGGCAGAACAGCAAGGCGCCCCGAAAUAAGGCGACCCAGACUCCUGUCCCUGCGUCAACCCGUGUUCACACCACACACACGCAGUAAUUGUGUGCAUCUGUGUUUGUGUGUAAUACCUGCGUCAACGGCACUUGAUUUCACACACACACACAGACACAGACACACACAGACACAGAGAGAGAGACGUGCAGGGUCAAAGUUUAAUCAACAGUAAGAGUUCAGAGACAUGCCAAUCCCCUGUGUAUUCCAGUGUGGCUUUGAACAUGCAUUCUAAGGUGAAGUCUCACUGAAUCUCACAAUAACCUUGGAGAUACAGUAUGCACAAUCCGAACACCUGUGUCAUAACCCCACCUCAACCACCAGGCCUGAAACUGAGAAGACCACGGGGGGGGGGCCUAAUCCGUCAAUUUAGAGUCCUUCAAGACGUUGGGAUUCCUCAGUGACAAGUGGAAACUACCUGGAAGUGCAUUUAAUACAGAGAACAGGAGGCACUUCUUUACACAAAGGGGUGUGGGAGUGUGGACCGAGCUGCCCUGGCUUCUUUCAGAAAACGACUAGACGAGAUUCUGAAGUCAAUUAGCUACUAACUAGCAAACAAGCUAGACAGUCCAGACAGCCUCUCCUCGUUCCUCUCUUAUUGUAGCAAAUAAUACCUAAAGAUAUGUCCGGGGCUCUAAACCGAUGUGAAACGACUUGGUAAUUAAAAAAACAAAUGUCUCCAAUAUAUUCAGUCCUCUCAAAAAUAAACUAAUGAGAUAACUUUCUGUCAGUAGAAGGUAUUUCAAUUUUUAUGACGUGAAAUAUUUCCAGAUCGCAUUAAAUGAAAAGUUCACUGGAAAGAGAAGAAAAGUAAAAUGUGUGAUUUUGUUGUACACAAACGUUAGGUACAAUGAUUUUAGUUUGCUUUUACCUCCCCGCCGUGGCCUUUUUAGGUACUGCAAAACCUUCCCUUUAUUUCGCAACUGAAGGGAAGUAAUGACAUUUCUUCCCCUUUGACAGGCGUUUUCUGCAGGUUUCCGUGUCUGUCUUUACGAAUAGAGGAAACACUGAUUUCUCAGUAGGAAGUGAGACAGAUGUGCAAAACGCCUCUUCCUCGAAAUCGGCGUUAUUCUCCCAUAAAUACAAAAGCUAGACUUGGCCGAGGAAAAAGGUGGAUCAUCCAGGUGGGGCUGCACAUUGGUGGUGGUGGAGGGGAUCCCCAUUACCGCUUUGAGUGGAGUGUGCAGAAAAGCGCUAUAUAAGUGUAAGCAAUUAUUAUUAUUAUUAUUUUAAAAAAGCUCCCCUGCGUGGGUAUUACUAUAAAAUGAUCAGUAGGGGGCAGCAAAUCGAAGCCCUAAAGAAUAAAAUCCUUUCUUGUACCUUCUACAUUUGUAUUUAGUAAA
rnacentral:lncRNA from 1 species